rnacentral:rRNA from 1 species
GUGGGGAAUAUUGGACAAUGGGCGCAAGCCUGAUCCAGCCAUGCCGCGUGAGUGAUGAAGGCCCUAGGGUUGUAAAGCUCUUUCACCGGAGAAGAUAAUGACGGUAUCCGGAGAAGAAGCCCCGGCUAACUUCGUGCCAGCAGCCGCGGUAAUAAGAAGGGGGCUAGCGUUGUUCGGAAUUACUGGGCGUAAAGCGCACGUAGGCGGACAUUUAAGUCAGGGGUGAAAUCCCGGGGCUCAACCCCGGAACUGCCUUUGAUACUGGGUGUCUGGAGUAUGGAAGAGGUAAGUGGAAUUCCGAGUGUAGAGGUGAAAUUCGUAGAUAUUCGGAGGAAAACCAGUGGCGAAGGCGGCUUACUGGUCCAUUACUGACGCUGAGGUGCGAAAGCGUGGGGAGCAAACAGGAUUAGAAACCCCGGUAGUCC